UUCACUGGAAUUCCUGUGUUUCUCCUCACCUCUUGCUCUCAGUUUUCCCACGUGCCUCUGUCUCUGGAGUGGAGCCUGAUCUUCAUCAAUGGGCUGUGGGAGAAGAUGCUGCAGGUGCCAGACAUUGAGAGCCCUCCUGUUCUGUCUCAGUGGGUCCAUGGGGGACUUCAGCCCUUCCUGGAGGAGCCCAAGGUCUUUGGUUGCCUCCAUGGCAAAAACGUGUCCUGUGAGACCUUUCAGCUGCUAGUGGCUGCCCUGGAUGGACUAUACCCUGAGCUUCCAGAGGGAGAGCAGAGGAAUCUUUACAGUGGGAUCAAAUAUUAUCUCACCCAGAAUGAAUCCAACCAGAAAUGCUACAGUGAAGCCAUUCCAGGCCUGAAUUCCACUGCUUGGUUUAAAAACUACCUUGGAUCCUUUAUGGAGGAUGCCACAGUUGAGGACCUGCAGCUUUUUGCUGAUGAACCAACUCUUCAAAAAUUUGCCAGGGAUCCAGUCAAUAUGGAGAUGAUCAGCAACCUCACCUUGCUCCGGGAGACAGCUCUGUACUACACCUUCCUGCUGACCUCUGCUCCUGCUUUUCCACUGUCAAGCCUCCCAGACAGGUUUCUUUGCUCCCUGAGCCCCUCGGCAGUGACCAACCUGAGCAGGGACGACGCGCUGAGCUUGGCCCAGAGGAUCGGGGAGAGCUGCCCCUGGAUCCCGGCACGCAGAGGGAUUCCCGGAGAGAGAGCUCCCUCCUCCCUGCCGGCACAGGAGCUGCAGGUAACACAUCCCCUGCCCGGCCCCGGGGCUUCAUUCACCUGCACAAGCCUGGCAGGGCUGAGGGUCAGCU
rnacentral:lncRNA from 1 species